rnacentral:rRNA from 1 species
CGUACACUCCUGCGGGAGGCAGCAGUGGGGAAUAUUGGACAAUGGGCGCAAGCCUGAUCCAGCCAUGCCGCGUGAGUGAUGAAGGCCCUAGGGUUGUAAAGCUCUUUCACCGGUGAAGAUAAUGACGGUAACCGGAGAAGAAGCCCCGGCUAACUUCGUGCCAGCAGCCGCGGUAAUACGAAGGGGGCUAGCGUUGUUCGGAUUUACUGGGCGUAAAGCGCACGUAGGCGGACUAUUAAGUCAGGGGUGAAAUCCCGGGGCUCAACCCCGGAACUGCCUUUGAUACUGGUAGUCUUGAGUUCGAGAGAGGUGAGUGGAAUUCCGAGUGUAGAGGUGAAAUUCGUAGAUAUUCGGAGGAACACCAGUGGCGAAGGCGGCUCACUGGCUCGAUACUGACGCUGAGGUGCGAAAGCGUGGGGAGCAAACAGGAUUAGAAACCCUAGUAGUCCCAUGAU